UACAGAGACUGCAAGCGUUAUUCGGAUUCACUGGGCGUAAAGGGUGCGCAGGCGGCCGUGUGUGUGAGGCGUGAAAGCCCGGGGCUCAACCCCGGAAUUGCACCUCAAACUACAUGGCUAGAGCAUUGGAGAGGGUAGCGGAAUUCACGGUGUAGCAGUGAAAUGCGUAGAUAUCGUGAGGAACACCAGAGGCGAAGGCGGCUUCCUGGACAAUUGCUGACGCUCAGGCACGAAAGCGUGGGGAGCAAAAGGG
rnacentral:rRNA from 1 species